AGAGUUUGAUCAUGGCUCAGGACGAACGCUGGCGGCACGCUUAAAACAUGCAAGUCGAACGUGAAGCCCGGGCUUGCCCGGGUGGAAAGUGGCGAACGGGUGCGUAACACGUGAGCAACCUGCCCCGAAGACUGGGAUAACACCGGGAAACCGGUGCUAAUACCGGAUGCCUUCACCACGUCGCAUGGCGAGGUGAAGAAAUGGAUUCCGCUUCGGGAUGGGCCCGCGGCCUAUCAGCUUGUUGGUGGGGUAACGGCCUACCAAGGCAACGACGGGUAGCUGGUCUGAGAGGAUGUCCAGCCACACUGGGACUGAGACACGGCCCAGACUCCUACGGGAGGCAGCAGUUAGGAAUCUUGCGCAAUGGGCGAAAGCCUGACGCAGCGAUGCCGCGUGCGGGAUGAAGGCCUUCGGGUCGUAAACCGCUUUCAGCAGGGACGGUUGUGACGGUACCUGCAGAAGAAGCCCCGGCCAACUACGUGCCAGCAGCCGCGGUA
rnacentral:rRNA from 1 species